UGGCGGCGUGCCUAAUACAUGCAAGUCGAACGAACUCUGGUAUUGAUUGGUGCUUGCAUCAUGAUUUACAUUUGAGUGAGUGGCGAACUGGUGAGUAACACGUGGGAAACCUGCCCAGAAGCGGGGGAUAACACCUGGAAACAGAUGCUAAUACCGCAUAACAACUUGGACCGCAUGGUCCGAGCUUGAAAGAUGGCUUCGGCUAUCACUUUUGGAUGGUCCCGCGGCGUAUUAGCUAGAUGGUGGGGUAACGGCUCACCAUGGCAAUGAUACGUAGCCGACCUGAGAGGGUAAUCGGCCACAUUGGGACUGAGACACGGCCCAAACUCCUACGGGAGGCAGCAGUAGGGAAUCUUCCACAAUGGACGAAAGUCUGAUGGAGCAACGCCGCGUGAGUGAAGAAGGGUUUCGGCUCGUAAAACUCUGUUGUUAAAGAAGAACAUAUCUGAGAGUAACUGUUCAGGUAUUGACGGUAUUUAACCAGAAAGCCACGGCUAACUACGUGCCAGCAGCCGCGGUAAUACGUAGGUGGCAAGCGUUGUCCGGAUUUAUUGGGCGUAAAGCGAGCGCAGGCGGUUUUUUAAGUCUGAUGUGAAAGCCUUCGGCUCAACCGAAGAAGUGCAUCGGAAACUGGGAAACUUGAGUGCAGAAGAGGACAGUGGAACUCCAUGUGUAGCGGUGAAAUGCGUAGAUAUAUGGAAGAACACCAGUGGCGAAGGCGGCUGUCUGGUCUGUAACUGACGCUGAGGCUCGAAAGUAUGGGUAGCAAACAGGAUUAGAUACCCUGGUAGUCCAUACCGUAAACGAUGAAUGCUAAGUGUUGGAGGGUUUCCGCCCUUCAGUGCUGCAGCUAACGCAUUAAGCAUUCCGCCUGGGGAGUACGGCCGCAAGGCUGAAACUCAAAGGAAUUGACGGGGGCCCGCACAAGCGGUGGAGCAUGUGGUUUAAUUCGAAGCUACGCGAAGAACCUUACCAGGUCUUGACAUACUAUGCAAAUCUAAGAGAUUAGACGUUCCCUUCGGGGACAUGGAUACAGGUGGUGCAUGGUUGUCGUCAGCUCGUGUCGUGAGAUGUUGGGUUAAGUCCCGCAACGAGCGCAACCCUUAUUAUCAGUUGCCAGCAUUAAGUUGGGCACUCUGGUGAGACUGCCGGUGACAAACCGGAGGAAGGUGGGGAUGACGUCAAAUCAUCAUGCCCCUUAUGACCUGGGCUACACACGUGCUACAAUGGAUGGUACAACGAGUUGCGAACUCGCGAGAGUAAGCUAAUCUCUUAAAGCCAUUCUCAGUUCGGAUUGUAGGCUGCAACUCGCCUACAUGAAGUCGGAAUCGCUAGUAAUCGCGGAUCAGCAUGCCGCGGUGAAUACGUUCCCGGGCCUUGUACACACCGCCCGUCACACCAUGAGAGUUUGUAACACCCAAAGUCGGUGGGGUAACCUUUUAGGAACCAGCCGCCUAAGGUGAC
rnacentral:rRNA from 2 species